CCUACGGGCGGCAGCAGUGGGGGAUAUUGCACAAUGGGGGAAACCCUGAUGCAGCGACGCCGCGUGUGGGAAGACGGUCCUCUGGAUUGUAAACCACUGUCCCCAGGGACGAAGCUGACGGUACCUGGGGCGGAAGCUCCGGCUAACUACGUGCCAGAAGCCGCGGUAAUACGUAGGGCGCGAGCGUUGUCCGGAAUUAAUGGGGGUAAGGGGAGCGUAGGCGGGGAUGCAAGUUGGGUGGCAAAACUACCGGCUCAACUGGUAGUCGCACUCAAAACUGCAGCUCUUGAGUGAAGUAGAGGCAGGCCGAAUUCCUAGUGUAGCGGUGAAAUGCGUAGAUAUGUGGAGGAACACCAGUGGCGAAGGCGGCCUGCUGGGCUUUUACUGACGCUGAGGCUCGAAAGUGUGGGGAGCAAACAGGAUUAGAUACCCGAGUAGUC
rnacentral:rRNA from 1 species